rnacentral:rRNA from 1 species
GCCAGACUCCUACGGGAGGCAGCAGUGGGGAAUAUUGGACAAUGGGGGGAACCCUGAUCCAGCGACGCCGCGUGAGUGAAGAAGUAUUUCGGUAUGUAAAGCUCUAUCAGCAGGGAAGAAAGAAAUGACGGUACCUGACUAAGAAGCCCCGGCUAACUACGUGCCAGCAGCCGCGGUAAUACGUAGGGGGCAAGCGUUAUCCGGAUUCACUGGGUGUAAAGGGAGCGUAGACGGCCAAGCAAGCCAGGGGUGAAAGCCCGGGGCCCAACCCCGGGACUGCCCUUGGAACUGCUUGGCUGGAGUGCGGGAGGGGCAGGCGGAAUUCCUGGUGUAGCGGUGAAAUGCGUAGAUAUCAGGAGGAGCACCGGCGGCGAAGGCGGCCUGCUGGACCGCGACUGACGUUGAGGCUCGAAAGCGUGGGGAGCGAACAGGAUUAGAUACCCUCGUAA